rnacentral:rRNA from 1 species
GGGUCAGUAGGUUGGUCGUGCCACCGGUACGUACUGGUCUCACUGAUUCCUCCUUCCUGAAGAACCGUAAUGCCAUUAAUUUGGUGUUGCGGGGAAACAGGACUGUUGCUUUGAAAAAAUUAGAAUGCUUAAAGCAAGCUAACGCUUGAAUACAUUAGCAUGGAAUAAUGAAAUAGGACGAUCGAUCCUAUUUUGUUGGUUUCUAGGAUUGACGUA